rnacentral:rRNA from 1 species
GUCCCAAGGGUAUGGCUGUUCGCCAUUUAAAGUGGUACGCGAGCUGGGUUUAGAACGUCGUGAGACAGUUCGGUCCCUAUCUGCCGUGGGCGCUGGAGAACUGAGGGGGGCUGCUCCUAGUACGAGAGGACCGGAGUGGACGCAUCACUGGUGUUCGGGUUGUCAUGCCAAUGGCACUGCCCGGUAGCUAAAUGCGGAAGAGAUAAGUGCUGAAAGCAUCUAAGCACGAAACUUGCCCCGAGAUGAGUUCUCCCUGACCCUUUAAGGGUCCUGAAGGAACGUUGAAGACGACGACGUUGAUAGGCCGGGUGUGUAAGCGCAGCGAUGCGUUGAGCUAACCGGUACUAAUGAACCGUGAGGCUUAACCUU